rnacentral:misc_RNA from 1 species
UUGGUUGUUGGGCGAAGGUUGGUGCAGGAGGUGCGGUGUGACGCGCGGCCGCGGAUGGGCAAAAGUUUGUUUGGCUUGCCAAGUGAGAAAUACAGCAUGUCGCAUUUCAGCAGCAGAAGCACUGACUGCAAGGUGUACGUUGGUAACCUGGGGUCGAGCGCCAGUCGUAGCGAGCUAGAAGAUGCCUUCAUUGAGUACGGAGAUCUGACCAAUGUCUGGGUGGCUCGUAACCCUCCCGGGUUUGCGUUUGUCGAGUUCAAGAAUCGCAGGGAUGCGCAGCGUGCUGUGGACGCAUUGGAUGAUCGUCAUAUCUGUGGGCGUCGGGUCUCUGUCGAAAUGUCCACGGGAGAGUCCCGUAACCGCGGCCGGUACCCGCCGCGCCGGUCCAUGAGCGGCGAGAAGUGCUACGAGUGCGGCCAGAGGGGCCACUUCAUGCGGGACUGUCGCAAGUACGGCCGGCGCCGGCCCAGGCGAUCUCGCAGCAGGAGUCCCCACUACCACCCCAUCUAGUACGCUUGUCAGCUAGAUCAAAAGACUACUAGUCGUCUAAACCAAAGACUGCUAGUCAGCUAACCAAAGACAGCUAGUCAGCUAAACCAAAGACAACUAGUCAGCUAAACCAGCACGUCAGCUAAACAGCUAGACGGCUCUAGGUGCAACCAACCAACCAACCAACCUACCCCCACAGAGCAGCUAGUUCAGCUUAAACCACUAGCUAGCUCAUCACUACUCAACUCAACACAUGACCAUCAUGAAACCAACAUGUGACCAACAUGUGACCAACAUGUGACCAACAUGUGACCAACAUGUGAACAACAUGUGAACAACAUAUGCCCAUCAUGUGAUCAACACCACCUGUCCACAUGACUCACCAGUGACCAACAUAUCUACAACACUUGCGGCAUGCCCGUCUUUGCAGACUGACGGCUACACCAAAAUUCACCAACAUUUCAUCAACUUUGUUUGGGUUUUGGUUUUGAAGGACAAAGAAAUGAUAAAAAUCUCGCUCCUAUUCCCCACGCCGCUACCGGAGCCGAAGCAACUAUCGCAGCCGCUCUAGAAGCGAAAG